GAUGAACGCUAGCGGCAGGCCUAAUACAUGCAAGUCGAACGAUAUUACCCAGCUUGCUGGGUAUGAAAGUGGCGCACGGGUGCGUAACGCGUAUGCAACCUACCUUGUUCAGGGGGAUAGCCCGAAGAAAUUCGGAUUAACACCGCAUAAAAUCACAGUUCAGCAUUGGACAAUGAUCAAAUAUUUAUAGGAAUAAGCUGGGCAUGGGUGUCAGUAGCUAGUUGGCGGGGUAACGGCUCACCAAGGCGACGAUGACUAGGGGGUCUGAGAGGAUGACACCCCAAGCAAGUACUGAGACACGAACCAGGCUCCUACGGGAGGCAGCAGUAAGAAAUAUUGGUCAAUGGAGGCAACUCUGAACCAGCCAUGGUGCGUGCAGGAAGACGGCCCUCUGGGUUGUAAACUGCUUUUAUUCGGGAAUAAACCUAUUUACGUGUAAAUAGCUGAAUGUACCGAAGGAAUAAGGAUCGGCUAACUCCGUGCCAGCCGCCGCAGUAA
rnacentral:rRNA from 1 species